rnacentral:piRNA from 1 species
UGAUAAUUUUUAAGGCAUUUU